AGUGGGGAAUAUUGCACAAUGGGCGCAAGCCUGAUGCAGCAACGCCGCGUGAAUGAUGAAGGCCUUCGGGUCGUAAAGUUCUGUCCAAAGGGAAGAAUACAGUGACGGUACCUUUGGAGGAAGCCCCGGCUAACUACGUGCCAGCAGCCGCGGUAAUACGUAGGGGGCAAGCGUUAUCCGGAAUCACUGGGCGUAAAGGGAGCGUAGGCGGUUUGACAAGCCAGAGGUGAAAGGCAAUAGCUUAACUAUUGUAAGCCUUUGGAACUGUCGAACUUGAGUGCAGGAGAGGAAAGUGGAAUUCCUAGUGUAGCGGUGAAAUGCGUAGAUAUUAAGGAGGAACACCAGUGGCGAAGGCGACUUUCUGGACUGUAACUGACGCUGAGGCUCGAAAGCGUGGGGAGCGAACAGGAUUAGAUACCCUGGUAGUCCACGCUGUAAACGAUGAAUACUAGGUGUCUGGUGUCAAAGCUAGGUGCCGCAGCU
rnacentral:rRNA from 1 species